GUUUGAGGAUGGUGUUAUUUUAGUUGAUUUGGUGUUGACUAUAUUUUGUAAGCUGUUUCUUGUGUAUGUUUGAUUCUUUUUCCAGGUGAAGAUGGUUAAAAAGGCUUUUGAUGCUCAAAGAGAAUUAAUUGUACUUGCUUCUAAGAAUCAGAAGCCGAGUACGGAAGAAUUUGUGAAGCUGCUGAAACCACUCUCUGGUGCUAUAUCUGAAGUGCAGAAUUUCCGUGAGAAGAAUCGUGCAAGUAAGUUUUU